AACCAGGUUGAUUCUGCCUGACGUGGAUGCUAGUUUCAUAGAUUAAGCCAUGCAUGUGUAAGCGAAGCGUAAGUGGAGCGGCGUACGGCUCAGUAACGGGCUACUAUUUGAUCUCCCUGGGCGGAUAUCCUCUGUAAACGGAGGGCAAAACGCAAGACAAGCAGCAAUUUUGUUGGCUGUCUAACGAAAGUGGGGGAGAGUAAGGAGCCAGCCCAUCAGCUAGUAAGUAGGGUAAGGGCCUACUUAGGCAAAUACGGGUACGGGGAAUUAUCGUUUGAUUCCGGAGAGGGAGCCUGAGAGAUGGCUACCGGGUCCAAGGACAACAGCAGGCGCGAAAAUUACCGGAGCCUGAAGUCAGGGCGGUAGUAAGGAGACGUGAGAACAAUGUGGGGGUAAAAAACGCACUGGAAACAGGAGGAAAAGACUGGUGCCAGCACCCGCGGUAAUACCAGCUCCUGGAGUGUCUAUGGUGAUUGCUGCAGUUAAAGCGUUCGUAGUCGGAGCGGAAAGAAUGGCGUGACAGACAGCUGCUCAAAGGGUGGUGUGCGCCGUGAUCCCGCGGAAUGAGGAGAGUUUUGGGACCAGGCUAUUAAACGGCAAGCGGUGAAAUGUGGUGACCCGUUUAGGAGCAACAGAGGCGAAAGCGCUGGUCAGGGGCUAUUCCGAUGAUAAAGGACGUAGGCUAGAGGAUCGAAGACGAUUAGAGACCGUUGUAGUUCUAGCAGUAAACGAUGCCGAUGUUGUGGUGCAGAGUGCAACGCAAGAGAGAAAUCUAGUAGGGCCCUGGGGAGAGUACGCGCGCAAGCGAGAAAUUUAAAGGAAAUUGACGGAUGAACACCUCAAAUAGUGGAGUGUGCGGCUUAAUUUGACUCAACGCGGGACAUCUUACCGGGCCCGACGACCGGACGAGCGUGACACGCGAUAGGUCGGAGAGUGGUGCAUGGCCGUUAACGACGAGUGGAGUGAUCUUUGGGUUAAGUCCGUAAAUUAGUGAGACCCCAGCGGAAGGACAGGUGCGCAACGCACAGGAAGGAUGGGUCAAGGACAGGUCAGUGAUGCCCUUAGAUGGCCCGGGCUGCACGCGCACUACAGUGGUCGCCGAAAUUUGGAGAGAGAGGGAAAGGCGAUCGAGAGGGAAUGAGCUUUGGAAGAGGCUCAGGAACGCGGAAUUGUUAGUAAUCGCGGGCUCACUAAGACGCGAUGAAUGCGACCCUGUUCAUUGUACACACCGCCCGUCGUUAUCGAAGACGAUGCUAGGCGCGAGCAAGGUUUAUUUGGCUGAGCGAGCGCAGGGUAUUGAAUCUGAUGUAAGUCGUAACAAGGUAGCUGUAGGAGAACCUGUAGCUGGAUCAGUC
rfam:Pseudoloma neurophilia strain MK1 NODE_796, whole genome shotgun sequence.